ACUUAUUCUCAGGGCGGGGUGAGAUUCCCCACCGGCGGUAUCCUAGUUGUUUCUAGGGAGCCCGCGAGCGCUCUUCUUGCCGAAGAGGUCAGCAGAACUGGUGAAAGGCCAGUGCCGACGGUAUAGUCCGGAUGAAAGAGGAUAAGG
rfam:Desulfosporosinus youngiae DSM 17734 chromosome, whole genome shotgun sequence.